UCGCCUGUUUAUCAAAAACAUCUCCCUAUAAAAUCUAUAAAAAUUUAAGGUAGACUCUGCUCAGUGAAAAUUUAACAGCCGCAGUAUCCUGACUGUGCUAAGGUAGCAUAAUAACUUGUCUUAUAAUUGAGGACUGGUAUGAAAGAGUUGACGAUAUUUUUUCUCUCCUAAAAAAAUAAAUAUAAUUUAAUAUCUACAUCAAAAAGUGUAGCUCCCUAAAGGGACGAUAAGACCCUAUAAAGCUUCACAGAAACAGUCUGAGUAUUAAUUUAAAUUUUUACAUACUUUUACAUUUUGUUAAGCUGGGGCGGCGUCUAUUCCUCCAAUAGAAAAUUAAACAAAAAUUUUUGAAACUAAAGAUCUUGUUUUUAAAGAUAGAAUAAGCUACUUUAGGGAUAACAGCACAAUUUUUUCAUAUAGACCUUAUAGACGAAAAAGACUUGUGACCUCGAUGUUGAAUUGAGAGGCUCAGUUUAAGCAAAAAUAAACUUGAGAGGUCUGUUCGACCUUUAAAUUCUCACGUGAUCUGAGUUCAGA
rnacentral:rRNA from 1 species